rnacentral:rRNA from 1 species
UACGUAGGGGGCAAGCGUUGUCCGGAAUCAUUGGGCGUAAAGCGCGUGUAGGCGGUUCGGUAAGUCCGCUCUGAAAGUCCGGGGCUCAACCCCGGGAGGCGGGUGGAUACUGUCGAGCUCGAGUCCGGAAGAGGCGAGUGGAAUUCCUGGUGUAGCGGUGAAAUGCGCAGAUAUCAGGAGGAACACCGAUGGCGAAGGCGGCUCGCUGGGACGUGACUGACGCUGAGACGCGAAAGCGUGGGGAGCGAACAGG